rnacentral:rRNA from 1 species
AUCGAACGCUGGCGGCAGGCCUAACACAUGCAAGUCGAACGAGUGGCGGACGGGUGAGUAAUGUCUGGGAAACUGCCUGAUGGAGGGGGAUAACUACUGGAACCGGUAGCUAAUACCGCAUACCAUCGGAUGUGCCCAGAUGGGAUUGGCUAGUUGGUGGGGUAACGGCUCACCAAGGCGACGAUCCCUAGCUGGUCUGAGAGGCUGACCAGUCACACUGGGACGGAGACACGGCCCAGACUCCUACGGGAGGAAGCAGUGGGGAAUAUUGCACAAUGGGCGCAAGCCGGAUGCAGCCAUGCCGCGUGUAUGAAGAAGGCCUUCGGGUUGUAAAGUACUUUCGGCGGGGAGGCGUUACCCGAAGAAGAAGCACCGGCUAACUCCGUGCCAGCAGCCGCGGUAAUAC